CCGCGCUAAGCGGGGAGAUGGCGAUGCCCUGUACCUGCAAUCGCCUCAGCAGGGUCUAAUCCCCCGCCCGAGGCGGUCCGGGUUCGGUGGAAACCGGCGACGCCGAUGUGGAUGGUCGGGUCCCGGGCAAUGAGGCCUCGUGAAUCGUGUCAGGACCGGAAGGUAGCAGCACUAAGCGGGUCACCUCAUGUGCCUGAGGGUAGCUCGACCGGAGUCGGCGCCCGGAAGUUCGCCGGGUUCGCGGCCGUCGACGGCGGGGUGCGCGG
rnacentral:SRP_RNA from 1 species